rnacentral:lncRNA from 1 species
GGUGCAGCUCGAGACCCGGCUCCUGCAGACGGCCUGCGAGGCAUGGACGGGCUUGCAGGACCACAAACCUCGGUCCAGAGGGAGUUUUGCAGUGAACACCAAGAUGAUCAGAACCUGCUUUGUUCUCAGGAGAUACUGAAGGUCCUUCCCAAAGCAGCUGCUGUGACUGACCAAACCAGAAGCUGAAGAUCAGAAGAGGCGUCCCAGGAUUCGGACUGCAGAUCCGCCUCUCCAGUGCCUUGCUGGACUCAUAACCACCAAGUGCAAGCACCCAGAAGCAGCU